CUUCUCCUGAGCCCGAGCAAGGCUCUCCGGAGUGUGUCGGCUUCAGACAUGCGCACUGGUGUGGACUACAGCACUGCAGAACGUCCAAGGCGAGCAUUUUACCGCAUCCCAGCCUCCAGAAUCUGGGUCUUGAUUGAGAAGUGGAUGUCACUCGGGGAUUUUUUGGACUGUAAAAGGAGCAAGAGACUUACUGUCCCAAGACACAGUGCAUGCAGGGAGGAGAGGAAAUGUGGGUUCCCAUAUUGACGGGCUUGGGUUUGAGCCCUGGCUUUGUUACCCAGUAGUUUUGUGACAGUAAGAAAAUCAUUUCAGCUCCUUCAAAAGCUCCACUGUUUUUCCUUCAUGUAGAAAGUGAGUUACUGCUGACCCUGUCCUCACAGAGCCAUGGGAGGACUGCAUGAGGGGAUAUUUGUGAUCCUGCUUUGCCUGUGUGAGGGUCCGUCAUUCACAGGUGUCCCAGUUCCUCUGUCUGAAGGGCAGUCCCCAACCUGCCAGAGGCCCAGAUUUCAGGAAGCAUCUGCCAGAAUUUCCCUAGGCCCUGGAAGGACAAAUUCUUUUCCUAAAGGCAGAGGGUGGGGCUAGGCGGUCCUAUUAGUAUUAUAAUAUGCUCUCAGUGUUUACACUUGAAAGCUUUGUGUCCCAGGAGAAGGAAAAGUUGCCUUCUUGUUCAAGGACCUUCCUAAAUUAGUUGUUGAGUUGGGUUUGACUCCCCCACCCAUCUCCGGUAUUGAAAUUAAUUGGUGCAGUUAACUGCUGAGUUCAUACAAACCGGCCUCCUGGUAUUAAGGAAUUAAUGACACCAAUACUCUGCUGGAUGAGAAGGCAGCACAACUUCUGUUUGCCGCCACCGCCACCACUGCUAAUUUCAUUUUAGAAAAUUAAUAAAAAUGAAUUGCACCACU
rnacentral:lncRNA from 1 species